rnacentral:pre_miRNA from 1 species
AGUGGGAUACAUGGGUCAAAUGGUGGUUUUCUUCCCAGUUUUCUGAGGAAUCUCCAUACUGCUUUCCAGAGUGGUUGCACCAAUUUGCAGUCCCACCAGCAAU